rnacentral:misc_RNA from 1 species
GGAAGGAUCAUUAACACUUAUCCAAUCCCAAACAACUUUGCGAACUGUUCAAGUUUUUUUCAAAACCUUGAACUUUAUACUUGCAUCCAGCUUUGCUGUUGGAUACAAAUAACAAAAAAAAAACGUAUCAAUAAAAUUCGUUGAUAGUCGAGAGGAUGAGAGUUUGUUAAAACUCUCAUAUCUUUCUUCUGCCAAACGAACCAAAAUAUCAAUCAUUACACAACUUUUAACGAUGGAUAUCUUGGCUCCAACAACGAAGAAGAACGCAGCGAACUGCGAUACGUAGUGUGAAUUGCAGAUGUCUGUGAAUCAUCGAAACUUUGAACGCAAGUUGCGCAGCCAAAAGCUGCAUACCUGUUCGAGUGUUGGCAACAACAAAACUCCACAAAAAAAAGUUUUUUCUUUUUCUUGUGAGGUCAUGGGAUGUCUUGGUGUGAUGGAGGAAAAGUUCCAGGGGGUUUUUUUUUAAAAAAAAAAAUUUCCUGGUCCAUCCUUCUUCUUCUUCUUCCAAGUCUCCUCAAAUGUAUCUGCUGCAAAAAAGAACUAGAGCAUUGUACUCGUGUUCUCCGCAUAAAAUCAAGAGUGUUUUUAAGUUGCUUUAAUUAGCACACCCAAUGAAUGCUUUUGAGGAGAACUUCAAAUUGGCGAGGACAAACGUCAAGAUGUUUUUUCGGCAAAUUCGAGUUGGACGUUUUUUCAUCCAACCAUACGUUAACCAUCACGUAUGAAAUUGCAAAAAUCAACCUCGAAUCAGGUAAGACUACCUCCUGAACUUAAGCAUAUUAUUAAGGAGAGGAAAAGAAACAAACCUGGAUUCCCUCAGUAAUGGCGAAUGAAGUGGGAAGAGCUCAGAUUUAAAAUCUGGCGGCCUUCGCCGCCCGAAUUGUAGUCUUUGGAAGUUGCAUCAGACUUAGGUUCCAGCACAAGUCCUUUGGAAUAAGGCGCCAGAGAGGGUGACAGCCCCGUGUAUGGCUGGAGUUUUUCCUGGGGUCGUAAUGUUGCCAUUUCGUAGAGUCGGUUAUCUUGGGAAUGAUGACUGAAGUGCGUGGUAAAUUCCAUGUAAAGCUAAAUAUUGGUUGGAGACCGAUAGCGAACAAGUAGCGCGAGCGAAAGAUGAAAAGAACUUUGAAAAGAGGGUUAAAAGGGCUUGAAAUCGUUAAAAUGGAAACGAUUGGAUUCAGUAUUGACCUGUGGACAAGUCACGUAUCCCUGGCAACACCUGUCUGUCGGAGAGGCUCCUCGUGGGUCAUCCGGCGGAGCAGGCGAGGUCUUCGGGUGCGGUACUUUAGCCACGGGUUAGUCAACAUCAGUUUGUCAGGCAGGAAAAAGGUGGGGGGAAGGUAGCUUGCCUUCGGACAAGUGUUUAGACCCUCAUUGAUACUGUCUGGUACGGACUGAGGAAAGCAGAGUGUGCCUCGAGCUGGGCUCCUCCUGUCUAUUGUGGGUCACAGAGUGCGGGACAGUUACUGUGCCGUGUUCUGCGGUUUGCAAAUGGGCGGGAGUCCACAUACACUCUCAAGAUGUUGACAAAAUGGAUUCAACCGACCCGUCUUGAAACACGGACCAAGGAGUCUAACAUAUAUGCGAGUGUUAAGGUGUGUCAAACCUUAGCGCGCAAUUAAAGUAAAGGCAAGUUUGACUUGCUGAGGUGGGAAGCUGUGGGCUGCCAUGGCCGCACCAUCGACCGAUCUGGAUUUUUUUGAAAGAUUUGAGUAAGAGCAUAUCUGUUGGGACCCGAAAGACAGUGAACUAUGCGAGCAUAGGUUGAAGCCAGAGGAAACUCUGGUGGAGGAUCGUAGCGAUACUGACGUGCAAAUCGUUCGUCAAAUGUUCGUAUAGGGGCGAAAGACUAAUCGAACUGUCUAGUAGCUGGUUCCCUC